GACAGAGGGGGCAAGCGUUGCUCGGAAUUACUGGGCGUAAAGGGCGCGUAGGCGGGAUGGCAAGUCGGUCGUGAAAUCCCUCGGCUCAACCGAGGAACGUCGAUCGAUACUGCUGUUCUUGAGGAUUGCAGAGGAGACUGGAAUUCCCGGUGUAGCGGUGAAAUGUGUGAGAGAGUCGGGAGGAACGACCGGUGGCGAAGGCGGCUUACUGGUCCGGUUCUGGACGCUGAGGCGCGAAAGCCGUGGGGAGCAAACAGG
rnacentral:rRNA from 1 species